GAUUAAGGAGCUGUACCCUUCUUAGCUCUAGCCUUUUAAGCUAGCCAAAAUGUAAAAUUCUUAAUCA
rnacentral:tRNA from 1 species